UACGUAGGGUGCUAGCGUUGUUCGGAAUCAUUGGGCGUAAAGCGCGUGUAGGUGGUCAGUAAAGUUGGGUGUGAAAUCCCUCGGCUCAACCGAGGAAGUGCACUCAAAACUCACUGGCUUGAGAAUGGUAGAGGAAGGUGGAAUUCCUAGUGUAGAGGUGAAAUUCGUAGAUAUUAGGAGGAAUACCGGAGGCGAAGGCGGCCUUCUGGACCAUUUCUGACACUGAGACGCGAAAGCGUGGGUAGCAAACAGG
rnacentral:rRNA from 1 species